rnacentral:rRNA from 1 species
UACAGAGGUCUCAAGCGUUUGUUCGGAUUCAUUGGGCGUAAAGGGUGCGUAGGCGGCGCGGUAAGUCGGGUGUGAAAUCUCGGAGCUUAACUCCGAAACUGCAUUCGAUACUGCCGUGCUUGAGGACUGGAGAGGAGACUGGAAUUUACGGUGUAGCGGUGAAAUGCGUAGAUAUCGUAAGGAAGACCAGUGGCGAAGGCGGGGUCUCUGGACAGUUCCUGACGCUGAGGCACGAAGGUCAGGGGGAGCAAACGGGG